GAAGAAGUCAAGGCGUACAGCGAUUUCUCGAUUAAUUGGUGGCAUGGAUUGAUUGUGGUUUUACGUGGUGUGUUUUGAUUGCUUUCUUGCCAGGCUGAAAGCACUUCAACUGAUUAUGGUUGGUUCGUGCGUCGCGUUUGGGUGCACGAAUCGUGUGAAGACGCCAGGGAUAACAUUUCACUCAUUUCCCAAAGAAAGUAGUGCUCGUGCUGCCUGGGAACGUGCUGUGCGGCGAGAUUGCUGGAAACCAAAGGACAACGACCGUCUUUGCUCAGUUCACUUCGAACCUCAUUGUUUCGACAAAACUUGGCAAACAGUGAGACUGCGACCUGGCAGCCUACCUACUAACUUCCCAGCAUUCCCAGCACAUCUGCAGAAGCCUCAAAAGCGAAAACGAGAACCUCCCAAGUGUCGGGAGAUGGCACCCGUGGCACCACCUGAUAUUGCCGCUGAACC